rnacentral:rRNA from 1 species
AUUGAACGCUGGCGGCAGGCCUAACACAUGCAAGUCGAGCGGUAGAGAGAAGCUUGCUUCUCUUGAGAGCGGCGGACGGGUGAGUAAUGCCUAGGAAUCUGCCUGGUAGUGGGGGAUAACGCUCGGAAACGGACGCUAAUACCGCAUACGUCCUACGGGAGAAAGCAGGGGACCUUCGGGCCUUGCGCUAUCAGAUGAGCCUAGGUCGGAUUAGCUAGUUGGUGAGGUAAUGGCUCACCAAGGCGACGAUCCGUAACUGGUCUGAGAGGAUGGGCAGUCACACUGGAACUGAGACACGGUCCAGUACCCAACGGGAGGCAGCAGUGGGGAAUAUUGGACAAUGGGCGAAAGCCUGAUCCAGCCAUGCCGCGUGUGUGAAGAAGG